UACGUAGGGUGCGAGCGUAAUCGGAAUUACUGGGCGUAAAGAGUGCGUAGGCGGUUCGUUAUGUCUGCUGUGAAAGCCCCGGGCUUAACCCGGGAAUGGCAGUGGAAACUGGCGGGCUUGAGUGUGGCAGAGGGGGUGGAAUUCCGCGUGUAGCAGUGAAAUGCGUAGAGAUGCGGAGGAACACCGAUGGCGAAGGCAGCCCCCUGGGCUAACACUGACGCUGAGGCACGAAAGCGUGGGGAGCAAACAGG
rnacentral:rRNA from 1 species